AGGGAUAUAGUUGAUGCGGCAAAACACCAGAUCCCAAACUGGUUACGAGGGUUCAAGUCCUUCUAUCCCUG
rnacentral:tRNA from 1 species